CCUGCAGUGUCACCUGAUGUGGUGCAGGACGCUUGUGGUUGGAUAACGAGGCGCACAUGUGCCCUUUAGAACCGGAAGAAAGUGGUAAUACGUUCCAGCCCGGCGAUGCUUGCAACAUGGCGCAGUGUGAAGGUGCAGCAGCAUAUCGCCAUCACCUGGGCCGGUGGACUCCCCGACGUCAAGAAGUCCGAAGCAUCUGGUUUGUGUUACGUGAACGACAUUGUCCAAGACAUCGGGGCUGGAAAGGGCAAAUACUACGCAGUGAAUGACCCACUCAGAGAUGGUAUCAACGAUAAGUCGUUACGAAGCCGCCUUUAAACCGAUCUUGGCUAAAUAAUGGAGAUGUCCCAGCCGAGCGCAGUGGUCCUUCAG